UAAAUAGUGUAAAACAUUAAAAACACAAAACAUAACAAAAUGACCAUCGUUACCUAAUUAAUAUUGUUAUAUACUGAAGAAAAAUUGGGGUUUUGAAAGGAAGCGUAUAAAAAACAAUGCAUCCGAACACACAGGCGCAGACCAAUGUUUAUCAAAAUCCUUAUUUUGAUCAUCGUCUGCGCAGUACUUUAUAAGUUCGUGCUGUCCCACGGCUGCGGCGCGUCGUGCCAGAGGUCGCUGCGCGCAGGCGACCCUUCUACCUGCCACUGCGCGUGCGCCACGUGUCCCUGCUCGCCGUUACAGGCCUUCGAUUUUGUACCAAAUACAGUAGAGUAUUAUUACAAUCAAGGAAAAGAUCGCGUUAGGGAGUUCCAGCUACAG